rnacentral:rRNA from 1 species
GAUGAACGCUGGCGGCGUGCUUGAUACAUGCAAGUCGAACGGAGAGUGUAGCAAUAUACUUUUAGUGGCGAACGGGUGAGUAACGCGUUGGUGACCUGCCCCGAAGCGAGGGAUAACAGUUCGAAAGAACUGCUAAUACCUCAUGUGAUCACCGGUUUUAGAAUCUGGUGAUUAAAGGUGAAAAUCACUUCGGGAGGGGCCUGCGUCCCAUCAGCUAGUCGGUAAGGUAAUGGCUUACCAAGGCGAUGACGGGUAGGGGACCUGAGAGGGUGGCCCCCCACAAUGGAACUGAAACACGGUCCAUACACCUACGGGUGGCAGCAGUAGGGAAUAUUGCAAAUGGGCGAAAGCCUGAUGUAGCAACGCCGCGUGUGCGAUGAAGGUCUUCGGAUUGUAAAGCACUUUUUGGAGGGAUGAGGAAGGACAGUACCUCCAGAAUAAGCCUCGGCUAACUACGUG